CCUACGGGAGGCAGCAGUGGGGAAGUAUUGGACAAUGGGCGAAAGCCUGAUCCAGCAAUGCCGCGUGAGUGAUGAAGGCCUUAGGGUCGUAAAGCUCUUUUACCCGGGAUGAUAAUGACAGUACCGGGAGAAUAAGCUCCGGCUAACUCCGUGCCAGCAGCCGCGGUAAUACGGAGGGAGCUAGCGUUGUUCGGAAUUACUGGGCGUAAAGCGCACGUAGGCGGUUAUUCAAGUCAGAGGUGAAAGCCCGGGGCUCAACCCCGGAACUGCCUUUGAAACCUAGGUAGCUAGAAUCUUGGAGAGGCGAGUGGAAUUCCGAGUGUAGAGGUGAAAUUCGUAGAUAUUCGGAAGAACACCAGUGGCGAAGGCGACUCGCUGGACAAGUAUUGACGCUGAGGUGCGAAAGCGUGGGGAGCGAAACAGGAUUAGAUACCCUGGUAGUCCACGCCGUAAACGAUGAUAACUAGCUGUCCGGACACUUGGUGUUUGGGUGGCGCAGCUAACGCAUUAAGUUAUCCGCCUGGGGNGGUACGGUCGCAGAGUAAACGUACGAAAGAAGUAGAGGCGNGAAGAGUGCGAGACGACGACGAGGGAGGAGG
rnacentral:rRNA from 1 species